rnacentral:rRNA from 1 species
UACGUAGGGUGCAAGCGUUAUCCGGAAUUAUUGGGCGUAAAGAGCUCGUAGGCGGUUUGUCGCGUCUGCUGUGAAAACUGGAGGCUCAACCUCCAGCCUGCAGUGGGUACGGGCAGACUAGAGUGCGGUAGGGGAGAUUGGAAUUCCUGGUGUAGCGGUGGAAUGCGCAGAUAUCAGGAGGAACACCGAUGGCGAAGGCAGAUCUCUGGGCCAUUACUGACGCUGAUGGACGAAAGCUAGGGGAGCGAAAGGG